UACGAACCGUACAAACGUUAUUCGGAAUCACUGGGCUUAACGGGUGCGUAGGCGGCCACGUAAGUGAGAUGUGAAAUCCCUCGGCUCAACCGAGGAAGUGCAUUUCAUACUGCAUGGCUUGAGGGAGACAGGGGUCAGCGGAACUGAUGGUGGAGCGGUGAAAUGCGUUGAUAUCAUCAGGAACACCGGUGGCGAAAGCGGCUGACUGGGUCUCUUCUGACGCUGAGGUACGAAAGCUAGGGUAGCGAACGGG
rnacentral:rRNA from 1 species